ensembl:lncRNA
CUUCACAAAUUUAUUCCUUUCAGAAAAUAACUUACAUUCCAGAACACACACAUUGUGACAGCAUAUUUCCAGUGUUCCUUUUCUUGUAAUUUUUCUUAAGUUGCAUUUACACAGGAAGCCCAAUUCUGAUCUUUUGGCCCCAAUAUUGGCAAAAGAUCUGAUCUGAUUGGGCAAGAGAUCAGAAUUGGGCAACCGGUGUGAACGUAGCCUUACACACAGUAAAGAGGUUAGACAUUGCAUUAUCAGAAGGAUUUCUGGCGGAUAUAUUUACACGUACAGUACAUUCAGAUCAACAUCAUAAAAAGGUCCAUCCUAUCAGAUCAGUGAUAAAAAGGUCCAUCCUAUCAGAUCAGCGUGAUAAAAAGGUCCAUCCUAUCAGAUCAGCGUGAUAAAAAGGUCCAUCCUAUCAGAUCUGCGUGAUAAAAAGGUCCAUCCUAUCAGAUCAGUGAUAAAAAGGUCCAUCCUAUCAGAUCUGCGUGAUAAAAAGGUCCAUCCUAUCAGAUCAGUGAUAAAAAGGUCCAUCCUAUCAGAUCAGUGAUAAAA